rnacentral:lncRNA from 1 species
AGAAGUGCUGUCUUACCUUGAGCACGUAAGAUCAGGGAGAGAGGCUCGCUGGCUCCCACGGAGAGGAUCGGGGAAGGGCUGUGAUCCGCUGCUGGUAACAUGCACUUGGCUUUUAUGGGCAGGUGGGAGGAGCUGCUCCUCAUAGUAGGCAAGGCUUAUUUGACAAGGAAGUUCCUGCGCUGCCUGUCCUCUGAGCAUCCAGAGGCCCCUUUUGAGACUUCGGCAGCAUUAAAGUAAAUCCAGCAACGGGGAGGAUUCGCGUGGACUUGCUUGUGGAGACAGGAACCUCAGAACCAGCCUGGGUCUUCCAGCAUCUGCUUAUGUAACGUAGGAUUUCAGAGCUCUCUGCCCUCUGGUUAUUUUCGGUAUUUAAAACACUCUCAUUCCUAACAAUCGGAAAACGUCUUGGUGCCACAGUUCUUUCUCAGUGUGUCUUAAACAUUAAGAGAGGAUUCAACCAACAAGUGGCUAAAGGAUCAGUCUGAAAUUACUAAGAAAUGCAUUCAGAGAAAGAAAAACAAGCUCCUUUCGCUGCUGAGUGGUGACUCACUUCCUAGCCCAAGCCUGAUUUUUGCCACCAAAGGAAUUAAAGCAUUUUAAAAGAGAACCUGAGACUUGGGGUGGGAGAUACAGUACCGGGAGGGGGAAAAGGCGGGAAUGGGAGGGGGGAGGGAUGGGUAGGCUGGAAAUAAUAAAGGAACGAACUUGUACUGAAUAUGUAUAUAUGUACUUCAUUCAGUGUUCACCGCAACCUUAUGAGGUAGGUAUGAUUCAUAUUGUGCAGAUUUAUUUAUUUUUUUUUUAAUUUAAAGAAAGGCAUCUCUAAGGGUUUAAAUAACUAGCUCAAGCUAGCGAGAGGGGGAGCCACAGCUAGCGAGCUUGCAAACCUUAGGCACUCUUCAGUACACCAGGCUGCCGUAUAGAACACCUAGGUUCGUCUCAGGUUAGAUCCUGAUGUCAUUGGCUGGUAGCAGGCUCCAAGAGAAGGAAACUUGAUGGUGAAGAGCAGAAUUACUCAAACUUAGCACUACUGAAACUUUCGGGAGAAUAUUUCUCUGUUGUAGGGACCUCUCCUGUGCACUGUAGAAUGUUAAGCAGUGUCCGUGGCCUCUACCCACCAGAUGCCAGUAGCAGUACCCACUCCGCACUCGCCACCCAGCUGUGAAAAUAAAAAAUGUCUCUAGAUUUAGCCAAAUGUCG